ensembl:lncRNA
GCCGGGGGUCAUUUGAGCUGGGUUCUGCGGGUUGAAUAGGAGUGUUCAGGGAGAGGCGAGGAGAGCUCAGCACAGGCGUUGCAGUGUGGCCAAGGCUGGUGCAUCCUGGGAGUGAGGGUGGUUGGUCCAACUUAUUGAGGAGUAGAUAGGAAGAGGUGGGGGUUCCACUGUGAGGGACCCCAGGGCCUUUGGUAGGGGAUGAGUUGAUAUAGAUUUUUAGAAAAUCCCUGGCUGCCUGUGGAGGAGAGCUUUGAGGUCUCCCCACCCCCUCCCUGCCCCCGUGGGAACAGUGGAGGACAUGGAGACCCUGGUGGCUGCAGCCUGGACUGAGCAAUCUGUAGGGGCAGAACCCGGAGGAUUCCGGGGGCUGCGUGACAGGUCGGGGUGCUUAGUGGGCAGGAAUGGGGCCUUGCUCCCCAGGUGGCCUGCAGCCUGGCUGGGUGAGGCUGGGAGGUGGCUGGAGUGACAGCUCCAUGGCUGUCGCUGAUCAUGUCCUCAUCCUGGUGUUUGGAGGCUACGGCCCGCUCUCUUACCACACCGUGGCCUCUUCCCCUGUAGUACAACAGCCCCGUGGCAGGCGUGCCAGCCCCGGCCCCGGCGGAACACAGGCCCCUGCCCAAGGACUACAUGAUGGAAUCUGUGCUGGUGACCCUCUUCUGCUGCCUGCUCACCGGGCUUAUCGCCAUUGUCUACUCCCACGAGACCCGCGCAGCCCUCGCCCGGGGGGACCUGGCCCAGGCUCAGGAGGCCUCUCGCAAGGCCCGCUCGCUGGUGCUCUUCAGCCUGCUCUUCGGGGUCUUCGUGUCCACCAGCUGGGUUAUCUACGUGGUGGUUGCGCUCUACCUGCCUUGAGGGCUGCUGGCUCCCUCGGGGACUCCAGGUCCUCAGCCAGGCUCCUUCUGUGGACUUGAAUUCCCGCCAGCGGCCACCUGUCACCCAGAGGGGACCCAGGCGGGGGGCUGGAAGACGGUGGGCUCUGCAGUCCAUGGGACCCCUGUGGCUGGGCCUCGGCGUCCUGGCCUGAGGGGGCCCCAGUGCCCCGGUGGCUCCAGCUGGGGGACAGGGGCCAGUGCCCCCAUGCCCAGGCCUUCUCCUGACCUUGAGGGACCAGCGCCCUCCUCUCCUCAGAGCCGCUGGCAAGGACGUUGCCACCUCUGGCCACCCAUGCCUGCAGGGCCAAGCUGCCCGGCUCUCGCCCUCCCUGUGGGAGCUGAGAGGAGCAGCCUCCCCUUUCCUGGGUCGCUCCCGCCCGACCCAGGAGGCAGCCUCUCUCUCUCCUGCUGACCCCUCGCCCCAAAGCCCAGGCCACGACAUCCGGUCAGUGGACUUACAGCAACACGCCAGGCAGGGCGUCUCGUGGCUGCUUUGGGGGUGUUGCUGGUCCUGGUCCCUUCGGGGGCUUUGGGGUUCCCCCCUCCUGUCCCUCUGGGAUGCUGUUCUCUGCCCAUGCUGCCGUGGUGUCUGACUCGUGCACAUGGGCUGGAGCAGGGUGGGAAUUUCUGUUGGGUCUUCCCUGGCCAAAGGUGACAGGAGAGCAGGGACGUCUACCCGCAUGGAGAAGAGGAGGGGACCUCGGCAGAGUCACGAAGGUGGACAGCUCCGGGGGGCUCUCUGAGCGCCCACUGGGUGCCAGUCACUGCCCUGGCGCCCGCCAGGACCGGGAGCUGAAGCAGGAGCACGUCCCGUCUUGAUCCUUGGGAUGCUCCCGGAGCCCGGGAGAUGUGGAUGCAGAAGAGAGGCAGGACACUGCGUGGAGCUUGAGAGGUGGCCUCGUGGUCCAGGCCGCGGGGCUGGCCCAGAUUAAGGCUCUCAAACCCUAAAAUGCAUGAUUGUCACGAAAGAGGAGGAAACGGGAUUUAGGGGUCCAUAGACGCCGGACGGCCACAGCGACUCCUGUCACUAAACUCUCUUAAGUAAAAUCAAAAUAGAAAUCAUGCAGACCAGUGUGCUGCUAGCCUGGAAGCCUACAGGAAACACCUGGGAACCUUGUUAAACUGCGGAUCCUCAUUCCGUAAGCGGGCCCAAGAUCCUGCAGUCCCUGCUCCCAGGUGCCGCUGAAGCUGGUAACUGGACCAACUUGAUGUGGGUAAAACCGGUAAACCAGGACCAAGCCAAGGGCUCCCCCUAGAGUCUGCGCUCAGCACUGUUGUGAGGUUCUAGCUAAUGAAACAAACAGCAAAAAAUGAAAUUUGUAGUAUGAAAACUAGAAGAGAAAAAAUGACGCUCUGGCUAGAAUAUGCAAGAGCCCAUGAAAAAUUAGAAUAAGAGGACUCAGAAAAGUGAUUAUAAUAGUCAGUAGCAAUAUUCAGUUAAAAGUGGAAAAAAUGUAAAAUUCCACUCAAUAGUGAUUGAAAAAACAGUAAAACUUAGGCAUAAAUUUAACAGGAAAAAAAAAAACAAUUUUUUUAUAAGGAAAGUACAUGUGUUAUAAGGCGCCAUACAAGGAGUCUGGGACAGCUAGUGUUUGGACAACAAAAAAAACCCAAUGCCUCUAAAAAGAGCAAAGAACAAAAUGCCAUGCUAUGCUAUGCUAAGUCACUUCAGUCAUGUCCGACUCUGUGUGACCCCAUAGACAGCAGCCCACCAGGCUCCCCCGUCCCUGGGAUUCUCCAGGCAAGAAUACUGGAGUGGGUUGCCAUUUCCUUCUCCAAUACAUGAAAGUGAAAAGUGAAAGUCAAGUCGCUCAGUCGUGUCCGACUCUCAGCGACCCCAUGGACUGCAGCCUUCCAGGCUCCUCCAUCCAUGGGAUUUUCCAGGCAAGAGUACUGGAGUGGGGUGCCAUUGCCUUCUCCAAAAGAACAAAAUAUCUGCAUAGAAAGAUGUAAUAUCAUAAAAUAUCUAGCUUUCUUAAACAGACUUAAUGAAAUUCCAACAAGAAAGCCAAGCUUUUAAAACUGACAAAGAUGUUUAAAAAAUUCAUAUGGAAGGAAAAUGUGCAAAAAUUGCUAAUUUUUUCAGUUUAAUGAGGGAAAACUACCUUCACCAGAUUUUGAAACUUACGAUGAAGCUGCAGUAAACGCAGGGUGCAGCAUGGCUUUGCCACAGAACUGGAGUGGUGAAACACAGAAAGCCCAGAAAGCAUUCCAAGUGUAUGCGGGACAGUAAUUUCUGGCCCAGAUAGCAUUUUGGUUGAGUCAGGGCGGACAGUAAGCAGAGUUGGGUAACUGGUUAGAAAAAAAAUGAUUCUCCUCCUGUUGUAUAAAUAAAGUCCAGAUGGGUUACA